GAUGAACGCUGGCGGCGUGCUUAACACAUGCAAGUCGAACGAAACACCUUAUUUGAUUUUCUUCGGAACUGAAGAUUUGGUGAUUGAGUGGCGGACGGGUGCGUAACGCGUGGGUAACCUGCCCUGUACAGGGGGAUAACAGUCAGAAAUGACUGCUAAUACCGCAUAAGACCACAGCACCGCAUGGUGCAGGGGUAAAAACUCCGGUGGUACAGGAUGGACCCGCGUCUGAUUAGCUGGUUGGUGAGGUAACGGCUCACCAAGGCGACGAUCAGUAGCCGGCUUGAGAGAGUGAACGGCCACAGUGGGACUGAGACACGGCCCAAACUCCUACGGGAGGCAGCAGUGGGGAAUAUUGCACAAUGGGGGAAACCCUGAUGCAGCGACGCCGCGUGAGUGAAGAAGUAUUUCGGUAUGUAAAGCUCUAUCAGCAGGGAAGAAAAUGACGGUACCUGACUAAGAAGCCCCGGCUAACUACGUG
rnacentral:rRNA from 1 species